rnacentral:rRNA from 1 species
AUGGCCGCCUGGCGAAGGAAGGAGACGGCCGAAGCAUACUACCUCGCGGCCGAUGCCGGCGACAGAGGAAAGAAGGUCCCCAAGGGGUACAUCCCGCUGGCGCUGGUGGGCGAGGAAGGGGGCGGCGAUGAGAGGGUGCUGGUGCGGAUCGAUGCGCUCAAGGAGCCGUGCAUGGCGGCGCUGCUGGAGAUGGCCGCGGAGCAGUUCGGCUACGGCCAGCCCGGCGUCCUGAGGAUCCCAUGUGACGCACAGCAGUUCCAACGGAUGGUCGCGGCCAUGUGCAGCAAAGAGCAAAGCCACACAGGAUAG